rnacentral:lncRNA from 1 species
AUGGCUAACCUUGACAAAAUAGUGAAGAGCAGAGACAUCACACUGGCAACGAAGGUCCGCAUAUACAAAGCAAUGGUGUUCCCCAUAAUAACCUAUGGCUGCGAGAGGUGGACCAUAAGGAAGGCUGAGCGAAGGAAGAUAGACACUUUUGAACUCUGGUGCUGGAGGAAAAUCCUGAGAGUGCCUUGGAUUGCAAGAAGAUCCAACCAGUCCAUCCUCCAGGAAAUAAUGCCCGGCUGCUCACUGGAGGGAAGGAUAUUAGAGGCAAAGCUGAAGUAUUUUGGCCACAUCAUGAGGAGACAGGAAAGCUUGGAAAAGAUCACGAUGAUGGGGAAAAUGGAAGGAAAAAGGAAGAGAGGCCGACCAAGGGCAAGAUGGAUGGACGGUAUCCUUGAAGUGACUGGGUUGACCCUGAAGGAACUGGGGGUGGUGACGGCCGACAGGGAGCUCUGGCGUGGACUGGUCCAUGAGGUCACGAAGAGUCGGGGAUGACUAAGCGACUGAGCAGCAGUAGCAAUCAGACUAUAUGACUGCUUUCCCUGUUCUCAAAUAAGAACCUCUCAAAUCUUCCAUUUGAGACUGCUAGACUUGUGCUCAACUGACAUUUUGAAACUCUUGGUGGGACCAUUUCACUGAUUUUUUUUUCCUCUGGGAAGCAAAACAAUUCUUUAAGAAUUACAUCUGCAAGAUGCAUUUUAUCAAAAAGCCACAUCUUUGCACAUAUAUAGAAUUCAAAGUCUCAAAAGGAAACUAAGCUUCAAUUCAAAAAUGUCUUUUCAAACAUAUGCCAAGGUUGGCCCACGUUUCAAUGCAGCCCAGCACUCCAAUAUACGACUCAGAAAUAUGCUAAGCAAAGCGUGCUCCCCACCCAUUCUGUUUUCCAUUCUCCUUUUGCACUCUCAGCAGCCAUUUCCUUUAGGUUAAAGGGUGCCUUGGUCUCAGGUGGGGGAAGAUGGGGGUGGGCGAUAUGCAUCCCUCUUAUGCACUCUGGUUUUUAAGCACUAGUUUUUGUUGCCUGGGGGAGUUUUGAAAGAGAGCGUGUCUCUCAGGCACAUGGCAGCCCUGACUGGGUAACAGUGCAGAACGUAAAGUGUUGUCUAUUAGGUAGGGAGACUGGUUAAUACAAAGAGUUGUUGGUAAUAACAAUGUCCUUUCAGCACUGACAGAGACAAAGCACCUGCAUGUGGUGUCUACCACUGCGUGCAGCGACUGAUGGUCUGAGGGAAGCGUUGGAGAGCAUUUGAAUUUCACAUCCAGGGAGAGUUGGCCUAUCAUUAAAAAACCCUAAUUUCAGUGUCAGGUGGAGUUCCAGGUAAUCGAUCAUGAUGUCAGCAGACACGGGCUCUUCCUUGCUGUCUCACCUCCAAGUCAGCCUUGGGGUUUCCAAUUAAACUUAUGGCACAAAUCUGGAGGGAAGAAGAAAGGGAGAAAACGGGAAAGAUGAGGAAUAGGAUUGCGCCAGGAUGGUCAGGGCGGAAGAGGAAGAGUGCAACUGAAGCAGGAAUGGGGAGAUGAUGAAAGUCCUCGAUCCUUUGGGAGAAAAGGCACACUGAAAGAUGCUAAGUUUUACUGGGUUGCUAGAACUUCACAGUACAGUAGGGUCUCACUUAUCCCACAUAAACGGGCCGGCAGAAAGUUGGAUAAGCGAAUAUGUUGGAUAAUAAGGAGAGAUUAAGGAGAAGCCUAUUAAACAUCAAAUUAGGUUAUGAUUUUACAAAUUAAGCACCAAAACAUCAUGUUAUACAACAAAUUUGACAGAAAAAGUAGUUCAAUACGCAGUAAUGCUACGUAGUAAUUACUGUAUUUACGAGUUUAGCACCAAAGUAUCACGAUGUAUUGAAAACAUUGACUACAAAAAUGCGUUGGAUAAUCCAGAACGUUGGAUAAGCGAAUGUUGGAUAAGUGAGACUCUACUGUACUCUCAUUGUUUCCAAGUUCAAUACUGGAAGAAUUUGUGUGCAUUUUGGUAUGCAUUUUCCCCAUUGCAUGUAUUUUUAGAUAUUUAUCCAUUUUCUUUACCGUGUUUCUGUACAUUUUUCAUAUUGAUAUACCGUAUAUACUCGAGUAGAAGCCAACCCAAAUAUAAGCCGAGGCACUUAAUUUUACCACAAAAAAACUGGGAAAACAUUGACUCCAGUAUAAGCCGAGGGUGGUAAAUUUCAGAAAUAAAUAUAGAUAGCAAUAAAAUUACACUAAUUGAGGCAUCUGUAGGUUAAAUGUUUUUGAAUAUUUACAUAAAGCUCAAAUUUCAGACUGUCCAACUCUGAUCAAAUCAUUAUUCUCAUCUUCUUCAAUGUAAAUGUGCUUAUGCAUCCUUUUAAUAAUACAGUAGAGUCUCACUUAUCCAACGUUCUGGAUUAUCCAAUGCAUUUUUGUAGUCAAUGUUUUCAAUAUAUCAUGAUAUUUUGGUGCUAAAUUUGUAAAUACAGUAAUUACUACACAGCAUUACUGUGUAUUGAACUACUUUUUCUGUCCAGUAGAGGUAGUAUCCAAAAAUAUCAUUUUCAGGUUCUGCUAGAAUCAGUCAUGUUAGGUGGCAGCAUAUCAUGAGAGGAGAUCUAGGGAAAAUGUCAGGUUUAUCACUAUGACAAUUUUAUCUAAAAAUGUGUGCAAGACAUUACUAAAGCUAGAAUUAUGUAAUACAGAGAAGGACAAAGCAUGCUGAAAAAAUCACAUUUACCUCACGGAAGAGCUCUGACAGCUAAAUGAGUUGUUGGAAUUUAAAAAACACCUGAAGAUCUAUCUCUUUUGGCAGGUCUACCAAGUCAGUUUUAAUCUUGAAUUUUAAACUUGCAUCUUGUGUUCACUAUAUUUUAAUCUUUGUUCUGUGUAUUUUAAUAUAUGUAUUAUAUAAUGUUUAUGAUGAUUAUGUGUUUUAGCUAUGUUAUAACCUUCCUCGAACCACGAGAAGAGGUAGGUAAGAAAUAAAAUUAUUAUUAUUAUUAUUAUUAUUAUUAUUAUUAUUAUUAUUAUUAUUAUUUGAAACACAACAAGGUAAGUCCACAGCAGACACUCUGCUGGCUGUUGUAUUGGAUCACACGUUGGACACUUCCCAAGUGUCUAGGACUGUGUGAUGUAUCGGCGAAUAAUGCGUGCAGAUCCCAGUAAGGUGGCCUUCUGCAGCUGGCAGCUGGUAAUUUUGUCAGCGCCGAUUGUGUUUAAGUGCAGGGCAAGGUCUUUAAGCACUGUACCCAGUGUGCCGAUCGCCAUUGGGACCACCUUGACUGGCUUGUGCCAGAGUCUUUGCAAUUCAAUCUUUACGUCCUCAUAUCGUAUCAGCUUUUCCAGUUGUUUUUCUUCAAUCCUGCCGUCCCCUGUAAUUGCAACAUUGACAAUCCAUACUUUGUUUUUUAACAUGAUUGUGAGGUCAGGAGUAUUGUGCUCCAAAACUCUGUUAUUAUUAUUUUAUUGUAUGACACAGCAAACAAGAUAGAUAUGCUGGAUUUCGUUUCACAAAAAAACAAGUCAAACACUUCCCAAGUGUCUAGGACUGUGUGAUGUAUUUUCGGAUGAUGCAUGCAGAUCCCAGUAGGGUGGCCUUUUGCAGUUGGCAGAUCGUAAUUUUGUCAAUGUCUAUUGUUUCCAAAUGCCGACUGAGAUCUUUUGGCACGGCACCCAAUGUGCCGAUCACCACCGGAACCACCUGUACUGGUUUUUGCCAAAGUCUUUGAAAUUCAAUCUUGAGGUCCUGAUAGCAGCUUUUUCCUGUUGUUUUUCAUCAAUGAGACUGUCACCUGGGAUAGCAACAUCACUGAUCCAGACCUUUUUCUUCUCUACAACUGUGCUGUCUUGUGUGUUGUGUUCCAGAACUUUGUCAGUCUGGAUUCGGAAGUCCCACAGUAUCUUUGCGUGCUCAUUCUCCAAUACUUUUGCAGGUUUGUGAUCCCACCAGUUCUUUACUACAGGGAGGUGGUAUUUGAGGCAUAAGUUCCAAUGAAUCAUUUGGGCCACAUAGUUGUGCCUCUGUUUGUAGUCUGUCUGUGCGAUUUUCUUACAGCAGCUGAGGAUAUGAUCAAUGGUUUCGUCAGCUUCCUUGCACAGUCUGUAUUUUGGGUCAUCAGCUGAUUUUUCAAUCUUGGCCUUAAUUGCAUUUGUUCUGAUGGCUUGCUCCUGGGCUGCAAGGAUCAGGCCUUCUGUCUCCUUCUUCGGGGUCCCAUUCGUGAACCAUAGCCAGGUCUUCUCCUUAUUAGCUUUUCUUUCAAUUUUGUCAAGGAACUUUCCAUUCAAUGUUUUGUUGUUUUAUUAUUAGGAAAGCCAUUUUAUAACAUGUGAUAGGAUUCAUCCAGAUAACAAAUCAGUGGACAUGAGGGCCAUAACCUUCCAGUAUGCUGUCUUACGUUCCCAUCUUCUAGCAAGCACACAUUAUAUAGACUCAAAGACCACUACUAACAUUUUGCCCCACAUGAACUGUCAGGAAACUUGUCAGUCAGCCAGCAUGCAAGACAUCCAGUUAACUUGCCAGCCUUCUGUCCUCUCACUCUGGUUUACCUUCUGUUUAUUUUGAUCACAUCUUUGUUAGAUAACAGAGGAAAAUAGUUAUUUCUACGAGCUGUCUGUCUUCUGCUCUUCACCUCACAUUGCCUGCCCAACUGCGAGGUUGCCAGGUGUUGAUGGUGAAAAUAAUGGACACAAUCAGAGUAACUACAAGGUUCAAGGUGAGGGGAGGUUUAGGGGGUGCACCGUCUGUCAGGGGUGGGGGGGGGGGACUCCUGUCUGGCCGCCUGCCUCUCUGUCAUUCGGUGCAAAACCUAGGAGUGUGUCUCUAGAAAGAACAGGAGGCUCACUC